rnacentral:rRNA from 1 species
UUGUGGGGUGCUCGAGUGGCGAACGGGUGAGUAACACGUGAGUAACCUGCCCUUGACUUUGGGAUAACUUCAGGAAACUGGGGCUAAUACCGGAUAGGAGCUCCUGCUGCAUGGUGGGGGUUGGAAAGUUUCGGCGGUUGGGGAUGGACUCGCGGCUUAUCAGCUUGUUGGUGGGGUAGUGGCUUACCAAGGCUUUGACGGGUAGCCGGCCUGAGAGGGUGACCGGCCACAUUGGGACUGAGAUACGGCCCAGACUCCUACGGGAGGCAGCAGUGGGGAAUAUUGCACAAUGGGCGGAAGCCUGAUGCAGCAACGCCGCGUGCGGGAUGACGGCCUUCGGGUUGUAAACCGCUUUCGCCUGUGACGAAGCGUGAGUGACGGUAAUGGGUAAAGAAGCACCGGCUAACUACGUGCCAGCAGCCGCGGUGAUACGUAGGGUGCGAGCGUUGUCCGGAUUUAUUGGGCGUAAAGGGCUCGUAGGUGGUUGAUCGCGUCGGAAGUGUAAUCUUGGGGCUUAACCCUGAGCGUGCUUUCGAUACGGGUUGACUUGAGGAAGGUAGAGGAGAAUGGAAUUCCUGGUGGAGCGGUGGAAUGCGCAGAUAUCAGGAGGAACACCAGUGGCGAAGGCGGUUCUCUGGGCCUUUCCUGACGCUGAGGAGCGAAAGCGUGGGGAGCGAACAGGCUUAGAUACCCUGGUAGUCCACGCUGUAAACGGUGGGUACUAGGUGUGGGGUCCAUUCCACGGGUUCCGCGCCGUA